GAGGCUCAGUGGUAGAACAUCUGCUUGGCCUGCAGAAAGUCCCAGGUUCAAUCCCAGGAAUCUCCA
rnacentral:tRNA from 1 species